GGAAGCAUAGCUCAGCUGGGAGAGCAUCUGCCUUACAAGCAGAGGGUCACAGGUUCGAUCCCUGUUGUUUCCACCA
rnacentral:tRNA from 20 species